UACGUAGGGGGCAAGCGUUGUUCGGAAUUAUUGGGCGUAAAGAGCGUGUAGGCGGCCUGACAGGUCUGCUGUGAAAACUCGAGGCUCAACCUCGAGAUGUCGGCGGAAACCGUCUGGCUAGAGUCCGGAAGAGGAGAGUGGAAUUCCUGGUGUAGCGGUGAAAUGCGCAGAUAUCAGGAAGAACACCUAUGGCGAAGGCAGCUCUCUGGGACGGUACUGACGCUGAGACGCGAAAGCGUGGGGAGCGAACAGG
rnacentral:rRNA from 1 species